UUCGGUAAUACUUUGUAGAUGGAUCGGCAAUGGAUGUACAGCGUGGACAAACGCUCCAUGGAGUAUAUUAAUGGCUUGCGUGAUUUUCUCGAUCUGGCAGAGUUCAACAAGCUGCCGUCUGGUUUCAUUUGUUGUCCAUGAAUUUGCAAAAAUGAGAAGGAUUACUCAUCCAGAAAGACUAUUCACGCCCACAUAUAUAGUUCAAGAUUCAUG
rnacentral:lncRNA from 1 species